rnacentral:rRNA from 1 species
CACGUAGGGUGCGAGCGUUGUCCGGAAUUAUUGGGCGUAAAGAGCUCGUAGGCGGUGUGUCGCGUCGAUCGUGAAAACUUGGGGCUUAACCCUGAGCUUGCGGUCGAUACGGGCAUCACUUGAGUUCGGCAGGGGAGACUGGAAUUCCUGGUGUAGCGGUGAAAUGCGCAGAUAUCAGGAAGAACACCCGUGGCGAAGGCGGCUUUCUGGGACGGUACUGACGCUGAGACGCGAAAGCGUGGGGAGCAAACAGG